CAGUAGCCGCGGGAAAACGUAGGUGGCAAGCGUUGUCCGGAAUUAUUGGGCGUAAAGGGCUCGCAGGCGGUUUCUUAAGUCUGAUGUGAAAGCCCCCGGCUCAACCGGGGAGGGUCAUUGGAAACUGGGAAACUUGAGUGCAGAAGAGGAGAGUGGAAUUCCACGUGUAGCGGUGAAAUGCGUAGAGAUGUGGAGGAACACCAGUGGCGAAGGCGACUCUCUGGCCUGUAACUGACGCUGAGGAGCGAAAGCGUGGGGAGCGAACAGGAUUAGAUACCCGCGUAGUCCCUGUCUCUUAUAC
rnacentral:rRNA from 1 species